rnacentral:rRNA from 1 species
GCAAGUCGAGCGGUAACAGAAAGUAGCUUGCUUCUUUGCUGACGACCGGCGCACGGGUGAGUAACGCGUAUGCAACCUACCUCUUACAGGGGAAUAGCCCGAAGAAAUUCGGAUUAAUGCCCCAUGGUUCUGAUUGACUGCAUGGUUAAUUAGAUAAAGUUCCGGCGGUAAGAGAUGGGCAUGCGUUCCAUUAGUUAGUUGGUAGAGUAACGGCCUACCAAGGCAUCGAUGGAUAGGGGUUCUGAGAGGAUAGUC